GGCAAGGGACCUUUUCCUUCCAAGGAUGAGGUCCAGGGGUGUGGACUCUCCCCAUGGGUGGACCUGCUUCAAGAGCUAGGUGUUGAAAUCUCCACCUAGGAGAUAAGCCUAGGCCGCCGGGUAAAUAUUUAACAUAAUCACACCCUUCCUCACACACCUCCUUCGGGAUUCCUCUAUCACCCCAAUCUGUGUGGCCAGAGCCCUGCAACCCCAGAGUGCAAUGGCUCCCUAAGUUCCUUCAGAUGGCCACUUUUCACUACGGCUAUCUUGGAGCUCUACCAAAAAACCAAGAAGAGGGAAGGGACGUUGAGCACUGAAUACGGACCACGUACUAUUAAGUGCUGUCGCUGCAUUUAAUCCUCCCAAGAAAUCCACUAGAGAGGAAAGAACGGACAUGAAGCUGGUUUCCAACACCACAUGGCUGCAAACAACUGGGGACAGAGAGAAAACUCAGGUCUCUCUGCCACCCGCGCUACCCUGAAGCUCCCAAGAGAGACGGCGCGGAAGUCAGAGACCAAACGUCAGCGCGUGGAUUAGAGCUGGAAAGGGGCCACGAAGGCUCUGUGCCGCGGGCUGUACGGACCAGGCUGACCACAUCCCAGGAAGGCAUCCCAGCCUGCUUGAUCCCGCUUUCUACCACUUUGCGCUCGUCUAUAAAUCCCGUCCAGAUGGAUCCUCCAGUCCUCAGGUUGGGAGCUUUGGUCUCAGGCGUGGUCCCUCCCACAUUCUAGGCCACCAGGCUCCCACCCAGGCCCAGACCAUCUCUCCUUCACUUGCCCAGAGGGCUUAUGACAGGCUGGCAUUGUCCUUAGCAACCUCCACCUCCCUGUUGCCUAGCAACUGCGUUCAGAGUCCCCUACACAAAGGCCGGGAGGCCCCUUCCACACAGGGAGGCAGUAAGAGAGUUAAUGGGAGCAGGGCCCUCCCCCCAGGGCCCCGACUCCCCAGACAAGCUCAGGCCCAGACCUGGAGCUCCAGACUGGGGGCAGGGGUGGACACACAGGGCAGGGGCAGGAAGAAGCCCCCAGGGGUUACUGCUCCCGGCUCCUGCAGCUCAGAGGAGCAACACAGAGAAAGGAAACCCACAGGGGCCCCGGUCCUCCUCAGCCCACUCUCCAUGCACAUGCACCUGUGUCCGCAGACUCGACCGAGCCUCCACUGGAGAAGCAGACAGGCCACAGACUCACCCACCUACCUGCCCAUGAACCCACCUCCCAGAAGCCUGGAACCUCCCAACUGGCAUGAGACAGUGUGGGGGUGGGGGGCGGGAAGGGCAGAGUAGUUAACAAGAGGUCUUGCCCGCCCCCCGCCCAGCCUGCCUUUGCUGGUGUAUUCACAGUACUUCCCGCUCCCCCUUGUC